CUCUCACAUCUUUCUAUUUAAGUAUAAUCGAUUUUUAGGUUUACAUUUACGUAGUAUUUGAUUGGCUUAAGUUAGGGUCAGUGGGCCGGUCAAGUCACGGUCUACCUGUACAAUUAGAAUAUUACCGGUGAGCUUCUUUCCACCUACUUUGCUUCGUCUCACCGACCUUCACUUCUUGUCACCGAGCGUCGAGGUUAAGUUAGCGUAAGACAUUAUCGGAUUAAGUUUGAGGUUAAGACACGAUCGAUCUACACUUUGAAAUAUCCCGGUGAAUUUGCUUCUGUCUUCUUCCCUCUCCUUUCCUUUCCUUUCCUUUCCCAUCCUUUUCCUUCCCUUCCCUUCCCUUCCAUUCCAUUCCAUUCCCUUCCCUUCCCUUCCCUUCCAAUCCAAUCCCUUUCCUUCCCAUCCCCUCCCUUCCCAUAUAUUAUAUCUACUAAAAACACACUCUCUCCCACGUAUAACCGAGCUUAAGUUGAGUUAGUGUAACAUAUAAUUCGAUUAAGUUUAAGGUUUCUUCCGCUUGUGGGCGCCUACAUACUCCGUCAUCUCGUAUAAGUGGGUCAAGAGAGAUAGUUAGUUUGCGUUGCGUGUUAACAAUCAAAAUAGAUGUAUCGUAAAACUUAAGUAUAGCAGUACCCCGAAACGAGUCUGUGCUUCUUCAGCUUUUCUUACUUCUUUUUCUCUUUCUUUCUCUCUUCCUCCUGUUUCCUUCGUCCUACUUUUUCUUCAUCUCCUCUUCUCCCUUCUCCAAUAAUGCCUCUUCUUUCUUCCUCAUCUUCCUUCCUUCUCCACCUCUUCUUGGGUUCCGUGAUUCCACACCGCCAGUCACGCACACCCCAACCAUCGGGGGAAGCCGCGUACGUAAGACUAUACCCUGAGUGCCUUGUAUAUAUAACCCUACCUACCUACCUUCUAGUCAUUAGGGAGUGUCGAUCUAGUCAGGGAUUGCGUAUGUUAGUCAAGGGGAGGUUCUGUUUCCUAGUGAUUCGGUUCCCUGAGUAUUUUCUAGUCAAAGGAAAGCCAGGUCCACCAUUGAGUAUAUUAGUUAAAGGGAGUCAAAGGGAGUCAGUGGGAGAUUCUAACACGUAAUCAUAAACGUAUUAGCACCUAAGUUCGCCUGUUUGAAAAGCCUCUUAUAGUAGUUGCUGUGGUUUUCAUGGACUGUUUUGGGAUCCUGGUGAAUAGGUGUACACGACUCCUGCACCUUGUAUAGAAAAGUCACCCAUGAAAACCCGGUUAAUCUUCUCUGUGGCCUUGGAUAAUAAUCGUAAUGGGUGCCCGAUGCGUUUAAAAAUAUCGUCAUCUUCAUAAAAUAAUCGCCUAAGUCAUUUUUCAGCGAUUUCCGGGUUUUUGUCCACAUCAAUUUUUCAACAUAUGACGCCCAUUUUUUGUAUAGUUGCCUUCGUCAUUCAGGGUUUGAGUGUUCUAGAAUUGGCCUUUUCAUUUCUGCCUAAAUUUUAAGCCAAAUGGGAUGAUAACAGUUCUUUUCUGAUUUCCUGAAUAGUAGAAAAUAAUGACUUAGGCGGUUUGUUUACGAAGGUGACGCUAUGGCCCUCUGUUUCCUAGCGAUUCAGUUCCCUGCUUAUCUUCUAGUCAAAAGGAAAGCCAGGUUCACCAUAUCUUUUAGUCCGUUUUUAUGUCUUUCGUUGCUGAGAACAAUCAAUUUACAAGUUAAGGAAUUAUUUUAGCGUUAUACCGAAGUGUGUCUAGACAAAAUAACUCACAGAAAGAAGGAAAAAAACACUCGUAACGUUACUUUAGUCAUAUCGUUACGUUGUGUCACUGUGAGUUACUCUGUUUAAAGACGAAUUUAGAGUUUAGUGAAAGCCAACUCUAGUCAUGAUAGAUUCUUAAGGAAGUGUAUGCAUCUAGUCAGUCAUAUAUUUAGUUAAGGUUUUGUUUGUAAGGAAGAACAUCUAGUCAUUAAAAUUUACGUAUUCUAGUUGGUUAAGGAUGAAGCGAGCCAUAUACUUUUACGGACUGAACUUAAAUCAUGCGCAAGUUCAAAUCAUUCCCUCGUCUUAAGUUCAUUUUAAGUUCAAGUCAGUUUAAGUUCAAGUCAUUUCCUCGUUUUUAAGUUUAUUCUAAGUUGUUGUAAGUCAAUUCUUUCUAGUCACAGAGAGAAUCUAGUCCUUUUUGAGGGUCUAGUCAGAGUGGGAUCUAGUCAAUCUUUUAGUCUUUAUAUUUAGUCAAGGAAGGAAGAUCUAGUCAUUCCUUCAGUCAUUAUUUUAGUCAAGGGAUUGGUCUCUAGUCAUUCUUUAAAUUAGCAUUUCUAGUCAAUUCUUCAGUCAUAAUAUUUAGUCAAUCCUUUAUUCGUCAUUUCUGGUCAUACCUUUAGUCAUUAUCUCUAGUCAGUUAUCCUUUAGUCAAGAGAAUCUAGUCCUCUAUUUCUAGUCGGAAGGGAAUCGAAUCCUUUUUACUAGUUAUGGAGGAGGAUUGAGUCGUUUAUUCCUAGUCAAGGGAAGGAGGAUUCAGCCAUGGAUUUCUAGUCAAGGGAAGAAUAGUCUAGUCAUUUAAUUUUAGUCAUUAUUUUCUAGUCGUGGAAGAUAAGUCAGUCAUUAAGUUCUAGUCAAGGAUAAUAUAGUCAUGUGUUUCUAAUCAAUCAGUCAUGUCUAGUCAAGAGUCGAGGAUUUAGUCAUUAAUUUCUAGUCAAGGAUAUUAUAGUCAUAUGUUUCUAGUCAAUCAGUCAUUUCUAGUCUAAGAAGGAGGAUUUAGCCAUUAAGUUCUCUCAAGGAUAAUACAGUCAAAUGUUUCAAGUCAGUCAGUCAUUUCUAGUCAAAGGAGGAGGAUUUAGCCAUUAAGUUCUCUCAAGGAUAAUACAGUCAAAUGUUUCAAGUCAGUCAGUCAUUUCUAGUCAAAGGAGGAGGAUUUAGCCAUUACGUUCUAGUCAAGGAUACUAUAUUCAUGUGUUUCUAGUCAAGCCAGUUAUUUCUAGGCAAGGGAGGAGGAUUUAGUCAUUAAUUUCUAGUCAAGGGAGUGUAAGUCAGUCAAGCAUUCCAGUUCUAGUCGUGGAAAGAAGAGUCAGUCAUUCUUUUUCUAGUCACUGUAGGAUUAAUUUAGUCAUUCACUCAUCUCUAGUCACGUGGAGAGGAUCUAGUCACCUUUUCUAGUCACCGGAAAACUAAGAAUUGACUGAUAUAUUUCCACUCAUUUCUAGUCAAGGUUUUAGGAUAAGCUAGUCAUGUAUCAUCUAGUCAAUCAUUGCUAGUCACGGGGAGGAGAAUUUAGUCACCUUUUUUCUAGUCACCGGAAAACUAAGAAUUGACUGAUAUAUUUCAACUCAUUUCUAGUCAAGGUAGGAGGAUAAGCUAGUCAUGUAUCAUCUAGUCAAUCAUUGCUAGUCACGGGGAGGAGGAUUUAGUCACCUUUUUUCUAGUCAACGGAGGACUAAGUAACUGACUAAUUUAUUUGUAGUCAUUAAUAAUCUUUAGUCAGCCAGUUCUAGUCAAUCAUUUAUCUAGUCACUCAUCGCUAGUCACUAAAAAUUACUAUCCUUCAUUAGGUUUAAUUUCUCAUAAUCUAGUCGCUCUAAAUUAUCCACUCAUCAAGUCAAUUACACGAAUCUUCUGGUCACUAGAUAUUAAAACAUGAUAUAACUACUCCUCCUUCCCUCCCUUCCUUCCUCCUCCCCCUCCCCUCCAAAAAAAAAAAAAAAAAAAAAAAAAACAUUCCAGUCAUUCCGAUGGUCAGCGUAAAGCGAUAUCAGUAACUCGUAUCAAUAAAUUAUACCUCCAUUUUUUUCGCUUUAGGAAUAUUAACUUAGCUUCUGAAAUAAUCGUGUUGGUCUCAUAGGUUUUCUAAGUAACUGCGUGUGUGUGUGUGUGUGUGUGUGUGUGUGUGUGUGUGUGUGUGUGUGUGUGUGUGUGUGUGUGUGUGUGUUCGUAUGUAGGUAUGUUCUUAUAAGGGCUGCGUGCAACACUUUAAUAACUAAGAUGUGUAAGUUAGCAUAAUAUAAGUGUGUGUGUGUGUGUGUGUGUGUGUGUGUCUGUGUGUGUGUGUGUGUGUGUGUGUGUGUGUGUGUGUGUGUGUGUGUGUGUGUGUGUGUGUGUGUGUGUGUGUGUGUGUUAUUGGGGCAAGUGUUUCUAAGAAUACUCCACCACCACACGCUGCUAACGAUUUGCUCUCUUUGAAUUAAGUUAAACGGGACAAUCACACAAUCUUCUUUCUAAAAACGGCUGUGUAUUAUUAGGAAUUACGAUUAUGGACAUUACGUUAAGUUGCGAGAAUGAGGUUAAGCUAUAGUGUACUUCUUAAGUGUGUGCGUUUGCGUGUGUGCGUGUGCGUGUGUGUGUUUGCGUGUGUGUGUGUACCCACCCCUCCUCCUCCUAAUCACGCCAAGGCUUCAGGAGGAGGAGGAGGGAGAGGGCUCUUCCUUGGCAGCUUCAUAUUAAGGUCCACUCUUCCCUCCCUGACCUUCCUUCCCUCUCUGUGACCUUCCCUCCUUCCCUAGACCUUACCUACCGACCCACCUGCUCCGCCUCUCCUCCCGCUCCAUCCCUUUCGUUGGCAAUCAGAUUCUCAAAGUCCGAUCCACCUUUUUUAUUCAUUCUCAUCCUGUGCACACUCAAGAAAACUGUACGGCCUUUGAAUUUGUACAGUUAAUUUACAGUAGAGAAAGCAAGGGCAAAGAUAACGGGGCAAAAUAAGUAAGUGAAGAAUGAAGCCCUAAUCACUGAUCCUGUAUGGCAAGUAGAGAUGAGUGGCCAAGAGAGAGGUCAAUUUUGGAUGGAGUAAAUAGCGGAAGGAAGAAGUGCCCCUAGUUAUAUGUUCCUCGAGUGUCCACGGCGUCUCUAAGGACCUGAAGGAGACGCUGAAGGACACGCAGGAGUAGGUUCAGAUCGGUGGGUGUUAAGAGCAUUGACUCGUAUUAUUAUUAAGUUCUACAAGGGACUGUUCCAUUAUGCCAGUAUUAGUGUUACGUCUUAUCCUUGAAACGACUCCCAUGUAUCGUUGUGUUUAGGCUUAAGUUACUAUUUUUAAGUGUGUUUUGUUCUUUUGUUCUUUGGUCUAGAAGCACAUUUAGUGGCGUUUUCUUUCGAGCACUUGUAUGCGUAACUAUGCUAACUUUAUUUUCAUUAUUAUUGUCAUUAUUUUCUGAUGUACAUUUGGUAUACGAUUACUUAAGGUUGUACAAUCCAACUCCUCACAAGAGCUGGAGACAGAUCUGAAACUUGUAAUCCUUUCUCUGGGACUUCUGUGGCAGCUUCUCUUGCUUUCCUCGUCCUGUUAAGAGCUUGAUGAGGGAUGAAAAAGGAUCUCUAAGUCAGCUUCAAUUCUGAUUCUCGUCCUCUUGUAACUUGGUAUAGGAUCUGAGACUUGUAAUCCUUUCUUCGGGACAAUGAUGGCAACUUCUGUUCUGAUUCUCGUCCAGUUACAAGCUAAACGAGAGUCGAAGAAAGAUCUGAGACUUGUAAUCCUUUCUUUGGGAACUCUAUGGUAGAUUCUUUUUUCUGAUUCUCGUUCUGUUGUAAGCCUGACGAGAGCUGGAAAGGGAUCUGACACUUGUAUUUCCUUCUUUGGGACCUCGAUGGUCACUUUUCUUCCCUUCUUGGUCCAACUGUAAACCUGACGACCCUUCCCGGAGCUCUUGUGGUGUGUCUUCAAGGCCCCAUAUUGCAGAACACGACCCCGAAAGCUCCAGGAACGGUCGAGGAUCCUUAAUGAGUUAGUUUCCUGUGUUUGGUCUGUAGCUCUGAAUCCUUCUUUUGUAAUGUUUUGUAUAGCGACCUUCCUUACUGUUAGUCUUGAGUAGCGUUAUCGUGAGUGUAGUCUUAACCUGCUUCACCACUGCUAGUCUCUCCUCAAGGAGUGUUUUUUUGCUACGUUAAACACUUAAGUUUGUAUUCUUGAUCAUCAUAUUUUUUCCAUGUUAAACUUUAGGUCCUCUUGAUUAAGCCUUUUCCAUAUCAAACAAUGUGUAUACGUCCUCUUGAUCGAGCUUUCUAUUUUAUUAAGUUCAACUCUUAGGAUAGGUAACAAUCUUGAUUAAGCAGUUUUCUACGUCAAACUGUACGCCCUCUUGGCCAAGCCUUUCUAUCGUAAACUGUAAGCAUAUAGGUCUUCUGGAUGAAACCUUUUUGCUAUGUUAAACAAGUAGAAUAAGUCCGGUUUCAGUGUAACUUGCAAGGUGACAGUGACUAUACAGACUCAACACCCUUAGCGCCUCGAAUGUCUGGCCGAACUAUAUAAGACCUUGUACCGAGGAGCCGCGUGCUGUGCCCCGCGCCUGGUCGAGGGGCGGGACCUUCACCACUUCGCACAUCAUUUCCGAGGGGUGGCCGCGCCCUUGAUGCCGGUGCGGGGCUGCCGAGACGCUGUACAUAGCUGGCUGUUCUUGUACCAUAUCAUCCGUAUUGUAAAUCUGGUCUGUUAGUGUGUAAGCUUCCCUGUAUUGUCAGACUUUGCCGUGACAGUGUUUAGGUCCUGUUUUUUUUCCAAAUUGUAAUAAAUUAUUUGUGUGAA